rnacentral:rRNA from 1 species
UACGAAGGGUGCAAGCGUUAAUCGGAAUUACUGGGCGUAAAGCGUGCGUAGGUGGUUGGUUAAGUCUGAUGUGAAAGCCCUGGGCUCAACCUAGGAAUGGCAUCGGAUACUGACUGACUUGGAGUUUGGGAGAGGGUGAUGGAAUUCCCGGUGUAGCGGUGAAAUGCGUAGAGAUCGGGAGGAACAUCAGUGGCGAAGGCGGUCACCUGGCCCAAAACUGACGCUGAUGCACGAAAGCGUGGGGAGCAAACAGG